UUAAGCGACUAAGCGUACACGGUGGAUGCCCUGGCAGUCAGAGGCGAUGAAGGACGUGCUAAUCUGCGAUAAGCGCCGGUAAGGUGAUAUGAACCGUUAUAACCGGCGAUUUCCGAAUGGGGAAACCCAGUGUGAUUCGUCACACUAUCAUUAACUGAAUCCAUAGGUUAAUGAGGCGAACCGGGGGAACUGAAACAUCUAAGUACCCCGAGGAAAAGAAAUCAACCGAGAUUCCCCCAGUAGCGGCGAGCGAACGGGGAGGAGCCCAGAGCCUGAAUCAGCAUGUGUGUUAGUGGAAGCGUCUGGAAAGGCGCGCGAUACAGGGUGACAGCCCCGUACACAAAAGCGCAUGUGCUGUGAGCUCGAUGAGUAGGGCGGGACACGUGGUAUCCUGUCUGAAUAUGGGGGGACCAUCCUCCAAGGCUAAAUACUCCUGACUGACCGAUAGUGAACCAGUACCGUGAGGGAAAGGCGAAAAGAACCCCGGCGAGGGGAGUGAAAAAGAACCUGAAACCGUGUACGUACAAGCAGUGGGAGCCCCACCACUAAGCCAGUGGUGAACUCCACAUACGCAUCCUUUGCUGAGGAUACGGUUAACGGAGCGCAAGCGACGUUCAACCGCAAAAGAAGCAGAGGGGGCUUAGUGGUGGGGUGACUGCGUACCUUUUGUAUAAUGGGUCAGCGACUUAUAUUCUGUAGCAAGGUUAACCGCAUAGGGGAGCCGGAGGGAAACCGAGUCUUAAUUGGGCGUUAAGUUGCAGGGUAUAGACCCGAAACCCGGUGAUCUAGCCAUGGGCAGGUUGAAGGUUGGGUAACACUAACUGGAGGACCGAACCGACUAAUGUUGAAAAAUUAGCGGAUGACCUGUGGCUGGGGGUGAAAGGCCAAUCAAACCGGGAGAUAGCUGGUUCUCCCCGAAAGCUAUUUAGGUAGCGCCUCGUGAAUUCAUCUCCGGGGGUAGAGCACUGUUUCGGCUAGGGGGCCAUCCCGGCUUACCAACCCGAUGCAAACUGCGAAUACCGGAGAAUGUUAUCACGGGAGACACACGGCGGGUGCUAACGUCCGUCGUGAAGAGGGAAACAACCCAGACCGCCAGCUAAGGUCCCAAAGUCAUGGUUAAGUGGGAAACGAUGUGGGAAGGCCCAGACAGCCAGGAUGUUGGCUUAGAAGCAGCCAUCAUUUAAAGAAAGCGUAAUAGCUCACUGGUCGAGUCGGCCUGCGCGGAAGAUGUAACGGGGCUAAACCAUGCACCGAAGCUGCGGCAGCGACACUCAGGUGUUGUUGGGUAGGGGAGCGUUCUGUAAGCCUGUGAAGGUGGCCUGUGAGGGUUGCUGGAGGUAUCAGAAGUGCGAAUGCUGACAUAAGUAACGAUAAAGCGGGUGAAAAGCCCGCUCGCCGGAAGACCAAGGGUUCCUGUCCAACGUUAAUCGGGGCAGGGUGAGUCGACCCCUAAGGCGAGGCCGAAAGGCGUAGUCGAUGGGAAACGGGUUAAUAUUCCCGUACUUGGUGUUACUGCGAAGGGGGGACGGAGAAGGCUAUGUUGGCCGGGCGACGGUUGUCCCGGUUUAAGCGUGUAGGUGUGUGUUCCAGGUAAAUCCGGUUCACUUUAACACUGAGGCGUGACGACGAGGCACUACGGUGCUGAAGCAACAAAUGCCCUGCUUCCAGGAAAAGCCUCUAAGCAUCAGGUAACAUCAAAUCGUACCCCAAACCGACACAGGUGGUCAGGUAGAGAAUACCAAGGCGCUUGAGAGAACUCGGGUGAAGGAACUAGGCAAAAUGGUGCCGUAACUUCGGGAGAAGGCACGCUGACACGUAGGUGAAGUGAUUUACUCAUGGAGCUGAAGUCAGUCGAAGAUACCAGCUGGCUGCAACUGUUUAUUAAAAACACAGCACUGUGCAAACACGAAAGUGGACGUAUACGGUGUGACGCCUGCCCGGUGCCGGAAGGUUAAUUGAUGGGGUCAGCGCAAGCGAAGCUCCUGAUCGAAGCCCCGGUAAACGGCGGCCGUAACUAUAACGGUCCUAAGGUAGCGAAAUUCCUUGUCGGGUAAGUUCCGACCUGCACGAAUGGCGUAAUGAUGGCCAGGCUGUCUCCACCCGAGACUCAGUGAAAUUGAACUCGCUGUGAAGAUGCAGUGUACCCGCGGCAAGACGGAAAGACCCCGUGAACCUUUACUAUAGCUUGACACUGAACAUUGAGCCUUGAUGUGUAGGAUAGGUGGGAGGCUUUGAAGCGUGGACGCCAGUCUGCGUGGAGCCGACCUUGAAAUACCACCCUUUAAUGUUUGAUGUUCUAACGUGGACCCGUGAUCCGGGUUGCGGACAGUGUCUGGUGGGUAGUUUGACUGGGGCGGUCUCCUCCUAAAGAGUAACGGAGGAGCACGAAGGUUGGCUAAUCCUGGUCGGACAUCAGGAGGUUAGUGCAAUGGCAUAAGCCAGCUUGACUGCGAGCGUGACGGCGCGAGCAGGUGCGAAAGCAGGUCAUAGUGAUCCGGUGGUUCUGAAUGGAAGGGCCAUCGCUCAACGGAUAAAAGGUACUCCGGGGAUAACAGGCUGAUACCGCCCAAGAGUUCAUAUCGACGGCGGUGUUUGGCACCUCGAUGUCGGCUCAUCACAUCCUGGGGCUGAAGUAGGUCCCAAGGGUAUGGCUGUUCGCCAUUUAAAGUGGUACGCGAGCUGGGUUUAGAACGUCGUGAGACAGUUCGGUCCCUAUCUGCCGUGGGCGCUGGAGAACUGAGGGGGGCUGCUCCUAGUACGAGAGGACCGGAGUGGACGCAUCACUGGUGUUCGGGUUGUCAUGCCAAUGGCACUGCCCGGUAGCUAAAUGCGGAAGAGAUAAGUGCUGAAAGCAUCUAAGCACGAAACUUGCCCCGAGAUGAGUUCUCCCUGAGACUUAAAGUCUCCUGAAGGAACGUUGAAGACGACGACGUUGAUAGGCCGGGUGUGUAAGCGCAGCGAUGCGUUGAGCUAACCGGUACUAAUGAACCGUGAGGCUUAACCUU
rnacentral:rRNA from 1 species